AUAACUUUACUAAAUAAAGUUUGAAAAAAAAAAAAAAAAAUCUGUUCUUAUCACUUUAAUAUCUGAUACGUCCCCUAUCUGGGGACCAUAUUAUAUAUUAAAUGGAUUUUUGGAACAGGGAGAUGGAAUAGGGGCUUGCGCCGUCCACUCCGCGCAUCGACCUGGUGUUGCAGUAUCUCCAGGAACGGAGGCGGUGGAAAAUAA
rnacentral:snRNA from 1 species